CCCGGGAGCUGCAACUUCUGAGCCCACGUGGAGCAACGACUGAAGCCGUGCGCCCCAGAGCCCGUGCGCCCCAACAAGAGAAGCCCCCGCAGUGAGAGGCCCUCCGUCACAUCUGGAAAAAGGAGAAAGAAAUAUGUUUGCUCUAACAUGACGCAGAAAUCAAUGAUGAUGCUGCCUUAACUUGCUGAGCUUGGAGAAAGAGAAACGCUAGUAAAAUUUAAUACUCUGAAUCAUCAAAGGAUAAAUGGAAGAAGACAUCUUUAUAAACGCUCUCCAUCUCCUCAGAGAAAGCCAUAAAAGAAGAUAAAUUAAUGAGAAGAAGACCUACAGGAAGAAGGCGGUGUUCUGUGUUGGGAGGCCUGACCACCAUCAGGAGCAGAAAGGAACCCACCCAUGGGUUGGCUGUGGCCUCAGUUUCUUGAAAGAGGUUUAUGUUUAGCCAUUCAACAGACAAAGAAUAGCCAUUAAUUUUAUUCACAUCUAGCCUCCUACACCUAUCUUUGGAGAAAAGAACCUUUUGAGAGUUUCAGCUGUAUCUGGGACCAAAGGAAGUCCAGUUUUCACCAGGUUGACAUAGUAAAUCUCAUAAUAAGGUAACAGUGAUUCUACACACAAAAGGUAUAGUUCAUUUGGCACAACUGUCCUUUAACCUGAUGCCUCAUUAGGAGAUUUCAAGCAGCUCAUUUGCAGCAUAAAACCAUCAUUCUGGAGAAAAUUUCUUCAUGAGUAAUUAUACAAAAAUUAAAUAAACAUGCUGCCACCAAGUAAAUCCGUUAAAUUGUACUCUCACUAUAUCAGGGCCUCGAUUCAAUUGUCAUCUGUCUGUAAAUAUUAGAGAAGAAUUGGCCAUCACUUUCAGAAGAUAAUGACAGGCAGUUUUCCAGAUGUAAUUACUCAAAGACAGAACAGCAUUGUGUGGGCCGCAAAUGCUGACACAAAGGCUAUAGUCUGUGACUGAGGUGAAGUAAGGGCAUGGAAGAGGAAAUACUACUGUUACGCCCAUUACAAAUAUCAGGAAAAGACUGGGAGAAGACAGCGCUGCUGAGUUAAUGAAGGUGACAUUCCCACACGUAACUACAAUCCCAGUCACAGAGAGACAUUCUUCAGCGGCAAACAUCAUCAGAACCUAUCAAAUUUCCAUCAGGCUAAUGCGAUAAAUAUCGCAGAGGAAAGACGGAUGAGAGAUAAUUACUUAGAGCAGACCAGAACUUUUCCAGAGAAGAGACAAGGAUGUCAUGGAACCAAAUACGGCAGUUUUUCAGUUCGGAGGAAAUAGAAGAAGGACAGAUUCAGCGUGAAUGAAUGGGAU